rnacentral:tRNA from 1 species
GCUGUGGUUUAGUGGAAGAACCUCUGCUCAGCAUGCAGAAGGGCCCAGGUUCAAUCCGUGGCAUCUCCA